UGGCGAUUUGGCAGAGUUGGUUGAUUGCACCGGUCUUGAAAACCGGAGAUUGGGGAACCGAUCCGGGGGGGGGGGCGAAUCCCUCAAUCGUCGU
rnacentral:tRNA from 1 species